rnacentral:tRNA from 1 species
GUUCCUGUGGUUGAAUUACAACGGUGGUUUUUCGAGUCACUAGUCCUGGUUAAAGUCCUGGUGGGAAUU